CGUCUUCUCCCUCUUCCUCUGCUCUUCUUUCCCCACCUCCGCUUCUCUCAUCGACGCCGCAACCCCCUCUCUCACCUCCCCCACCACGUCCAAUCCCUAGCAGGUUUUGUGGCUUCUUGGCGUUCGUCUGGGAGUUGACGGCGAUUGGGGGCUGGGUUUUGCUCCGGCAAAUCUUGCCAGCCCAACCGCCGUGAACGAUUCCCAACGGAGUUGUCGUUGCUAGGGUUGCUGUGAGGCGGCGCGAAGUUCUGAAUCGCAGCGUGGGCAGCGUGAUUUCAGACGUGGGCUUGUCAUUUUUCAGACGGGGAGAUGCCCGCGAUUUUAAUCGCGCCUCCUCCUCGUUGCGUAUUUGUCCGGUAGCGAAUUCAGAAGGUAGUCAGCGACAAGCGGACGGAGGCUGUGCAGGCAGCGGUGCCGCUCAGUGGCGGCGCGAAACCCUAGGCGGUGAUUGCUUUGGUUGCAUCUGGUGUGUUUCCGGCCAAUUUUACGGUCAAAAUUCAGGCGGGUUGCUUUGGCUUCAUCCGGUCAAAACCCACGGAAUGGAAGAUGACGCUAUACUUUGUAUUGAAAAAGCUAAUUGAAAGCUUACGAGACAACCUCCAAAAUAAAAAUGAGAGAGAAAAGAAAGAGAAGAGAAUGUGUGGUCGAUUUCCAAACUUUAAUUUAAUUCAAUUAAAUUCUUUAAUUUAAAGCAGUGAUUAUUUCCAGCUGUUGUGAUGCUGAGCUUUGAAUCUCAGUCAAUGUUUCCCUAUUUAUACUUUAAAAGAGAUUCGAAAAAAAAUAAGAAAUAAUAAAAAAAAGGAGAAAAAGAAAAUUAAAAAGGUAA